AGGGCAAGUCUGGUGCCAGCAGCCGCGGUAAUUCCAGCUCCAAUAGCGUAUAUUAAAGUUGUUGCAGUUAAAAAGCUCGUAGUUGAAUUUCGGGGUUCUACCGUUGGUCGGGCUAUUGUCUGUACUGGCGUGUAGAAUUUCUACCUUCUGGAGAACUAUCAUGUUAUUAAUUUAGCGUGGUAGGAAACCAGGACCUUUACCUUGAAAAAAUUAGAGUGUUCAAAGCAGGCUUAUGUCUGAAUACAUUAGCAUGGAAUAAUAAAAUAGGACGGUGGUCCUGUUUUGUUGGUUUCUAGGACCGCCGUAAUGAUUAAUAGGGAUAGUCGGGGGCAUCAGUAUUCAAUCGUCAGAGGUGAAAUUCUUGGAUUGAUUGAAGACUAACUACUGCGAAAGCAUUUGCCAAGGAUGUUUUCAUUAAUCAGUGAACGAAAGUUAGGGGAUCGAAGACGAUCAGAUACCGUCGUAGUCUUAACCAUAAACUAUGCCGACUAGGGAUCGGACGGUGUUAGUAUUUUGACCCGUUCGGCGCCUUACGGGAA
rnacentral:rRNA from 1 species